GACGAACGCUGGCGGCGUGCUUAACACAUGCAAGUCGAACGAAGUGGCGGACGGGUGAGUAACGCGUAAUCAACCUGCCCUUCAGAGGGGGACAACAGUUGGAACCGACUGCUAAUACCGCAUACUGAUGGAGGAGAUUGCGUCUGAUUGGCUAGUUGGAGGGGUAACGGCCUACCAAGGCGAUGAUCAGUAGCCUGGCUGGGAGGAAUAACGGGCACAAUGGGACUUAUACCCGGGCCCGAAUCCUACGGGAGGGAGCAGGGGGGGAUCUUCCGAAAUGGACGAAAGUCUUACGGAGCAACGCCGCGUGAGUUGUGACGGCCUUCGGGUUGUAAAGCUCCGUUAAUCGGGACGCGUUACCGGAAUAGAAAGCCACGGCUAACUACGUGCCAGCAGCCGCGGUAAUUC
rnacentral:rRNA from 1 species